rnacentral:rRNA from 1 species
UGGGGAAUUUUGGACAAUGGGCGAAAGCCUGAUCCAGCAAUGCCGCGUGUGUGAAGAAGGCCUUCGGGUUGUAAAGCACUUUUGUCCGGAAAGAAAUCCUUGGCUCUAAUACAGUCGGGGGAUGACGGUACCGGAAGAAUAAGCACCGGCUAACUACGUGCCAGCAGCCGCGGUAAUACGUAGGGUGCAAGCGUUAAUCGGAAUUACUGGGCGUAAAGCGUGCGCAGGCGGUUUGCUAAGACCGAUGUGAAAUCCCCGGGCUCAACCUGGGAACUGCAUUGGUGACUGGCAGGCUAGAGUAUGGCAGAGGGGGGUAGAAUUCCACGUGUAGCAGUGAAAUGCGUAGAGAUGUGGAGGAAUACCGAUGGCGAAGGCAGCCCCCUGGGCCAAUACUGACGCUCAUGCACGAAAGCGUGGGGAGCAAACAGGAUUAGAUACCCUGGUAGUCCACGCCCUAAACGAUGUCAACUAGUUGUUGGGGACUUCAUUUCCUUAGUAACGUAGCUAACGCGUGAAGUUGACCGCCUGGGGAGUACAGUCGCAAGAUUAAAACUCAAAUGAAUUGACGGGGU